rnacentral:ncRNA from 1 species
AAACGGGACUCGUAAGUCCUGGAUCAGGCUGCUCCGAUGUAAGUCGGUGAUACUCCGUCGGGCUACUAAGGCCCCACCUUGAGUGUGAACGGUGAGAAUCGGCCCCCAGGGUGAGCCCGUUU